rnacentral:rRNA from 1 species
UGUGGUGAUGGUAGCAAGAAGGAUACACCUGUUCCCAUGCCGAACACAGCAGUUAAGCUUCUUAGCGCCGAUGGUAGUUGGACCUUGGGUCCUGUGAGAGUAGGUCAUUGCCAUGC